UCAGAGAAUUUCUAUUUCUAUAGGUAAUUUAAUUAAUUAAUGUUAGGUGGUGCUGAAUAUUGAAUGAUGAAGGAAUUUUUAACUGGAAUUCAUAUUAUUGGAAUAUUUUAACUGGAUUUCAUAUUAUCUGGGUUUUGUUAUGUUUAUAGAAAUAUAAUUAAAACUUAACAGUGGAUAGCAGCAGGUACUAAUUAUAGCAUUGGGUUUUCUAAAUGAUAUUUGGGAAUGUUCGAAGUUUAUUAAACGAUUACGCGAUCGUACGUAUCGUCUCUUACAAAUAUUUUAACAAAACGGGAGAAAAAGAAAAAGGGGAGAGAGAAAGAAAAAAGAAAAAAAAAACAAAAAAAAAGAAAAAUAAAAACAAAAGAAGAACAGAAAUAUCAUAAAGCGAGUAUCGAUCGAUCUAGCAAAAUAAAAAAAGAAGGUGCAUCAAAUUGUGAGAAUAAAUAUAAUACUUAGAGAUAUAAAAGAGAAAAGAAAAGAAGAAAAGGUACCACGCACGUAAACGAAGGUUGCCAUUUGGACUUAUUAAUGGAAUGAUUUGUCUGAAUGAGACAUCGUUGCGUUCUUAAAGUCUUAUUGCUUGUUUAGGUUAUGUUUGAGAUUCGCCAUUACAAAAUAUUCGUUUGUUUCGAUUGUUGUCCAAAUCUUGUUGGCAACGGUGACAAUUUUGUUACAUUAUUUGUUUUCCUUCUCUCCACGAAAAUAACAUUUAUUGCACGUUAAAUAAUACAGGGAAUGUCGUUACGUAAACUGAACAAAAAGUUUUCUUUCAUCGAUCUUUGAAAAACAAAACCGACAAGUCCAAAGUAUUCCGUUAAUCGCCAGAAAAGCAUAUACAUAUGAAGAAAGACGCGAACGUUUAGACAAAUUUCACGAGCUUAAUAUCAGUCCUUAAUAAUUUUCAAACGUAUGAAAAGAUUAUAGGACAUUGGUACCGCAUUAGCACCCAUUCUAAGUCCGAAGACAUGAAAUUUGAGAGAGAAAGAAAGAAAGAAAGAUAAA
rnacentral:lncRNA from 1 species